CCCAGUUUUGAAUCAUGGCUCAGAUUGAACGCUGGCGGCAGGCCUAACACAUGCAAGUCGAGCGGUAGCACAGAGAGCUUGCUCUCGGGUGACGAGCGGCGGACGGGUGAGUAAUGUCUGGGAAACUGCCUGAUGGAGGGGGAUAACUACUGGAAACGGUAGCUAAUACCGCAUAAUGUCGCAAGACCAAAGUGGGGGACCUUCGGGCCUCAUGCCAUCAGAUGUGCCCAGAUGGGAUUAGCUAGUAGGUGGGGUAACGGCUCACCUAGGCGACGAUCCCUAGCUGGUCUGAGAGGAUGACCAGCCACACUGGAACUGAGACACGGUCCAGACUCCUACGGGAGGCAGCAGUGGGGAAUAUUGCACAAUGGGCGCAAGCCUGAUGCAGCCAUGCCGCGUGUGUGAAGAAGGCCUUCGGGUUGUAAAGCACUUUCAGCGGGGAGGAAGGCGUAGGUUAAUAACCUCGAUUGACGUUACCCGCAGAAGAAGCACCGGCUAACUCCGUGCCAGCAGCCGCGGUAAUACGGAGGGUGCAAGCGUUAAUCGGAAUUACUGGGCGUAAAGCGCACGCAGGCGGUCUGUCAAGUCGGAUGUGAAAUCCCCGGGCUCAACCUGGGAACUGCAUUCGAAACUGGCAGGCUAGAGUCUUGUAGAGGGGGGUAGAAUUCCAGGUGUAGCGGUGAAAUGCGUAGAGAUCUGGAGGAAUACCGGUGGCGAAGGCGGCCCCCUGGACAAAGACUGACGCUCAGGUGCGAAAGCGUGGGGAGCAAACAGGAUUAGAUACCCUGGUAGUCCACGCCGUAAACGAGUCGAUUUGGAGGUUGUGCCCUUGAGGCGUGGCUUCCGGAGCUAACGCGUUAAAUCACCCCCCC
rnacentral:rRNA from 1 species